GACAGAGGGUGCGAACGUUGUUCGGAAUUACUGGGCGUAAAGCGCGUGUAGGCGGCCCGAUAAGUCCGCUGUGAAAGUCCAGGGCUCAACCCUGGAAUGCCCGGUGGAUACUGUCGGGCUCGAGUCCGGAAGAGGCGAGUGGAAUUCCUGGUGUAGCGGUGAAAUGACGCAGAUAUCAGGAAGAACACCCGUGGCGAAGGCGGCUCUCUGGGACGGUACUGACGCUGAGACGCGAAAGCGUGGGGAGCGAACAAG
rnacentral:rRNA from 1 species